GGAAAAGUAGCUCUGAAUUCUACUUUUUGGGGGGAGGGGGCAGGACAUUUUAAAAAGCAUACUAUUAGACCCUCACAAGUUUUCAGGAAAGGCAUCCUAAGAUUAAUUUUUAGUGCUAAUGACAGGGAGGCCCUGAGCCUUGUUGAACCUGGGGUUGUGCAGCAUCGACCUUUUCCCUACAGCAGCUAAGGUCCUUGGGAUUUUGUGAUUCGUCAGCAGCUAUGCACAUGUAAAAAUAAAUCUCUCUCUCUCUCUGAGAUAGGAGAGCAGACAGGAAAAGAAUAUCAGCGGGUUUCUUUCUAAGAAAAAGGAUUGUGUGAGGCCCUCCCCACUGAUGCAGCCAGACCCCCAGGGAUGUGGAGGUGGGAAGACAGGUCUCCACCAGAAGAGGACUCUUGGGAUUCAAGAAGACAGGCUUGCUGAGAGUAUAGUUCAGUGACAGAGCACUUGCCUGGCAUCCACAGGGCUGUGAGUUCAAUCCCCGACACUACAAGAUCAAAGAGUUUCCUCUCACAAAUGCUGAACUAACUUGGUUUCACAGAUAAAAUAGGGCAACUGCCCAGGACCCCAGCCUGAGAAUGGCCACAUGCAUAGUGGGCAGAUCUUCCCACUUCAGUUAUACAAGCAAGAUAAUCCCCACAGAUGCACUCCAAAGUGCAUGUCCCAAACAGCACCAACCACCGUAGCAUCUUUACUUCUCAUCCUGACAUCUUGUUCAUGGACUUAUUUCUCUGUGCAAGUGUCUACCUGGAAAGAUGGCUUCACGAUUAGAACACUUUUGAGGCUCUUGCAGAUAACCCAAGCUUAGUUCCCAGCCUCGAGGGACUCCAGCUGAAGCUGAAGGAACUGAUGCUCCAUGGUCUCUAUCUUCUUGAGAAAGUCGAGUGAAGGUCUGGGUUAUGUACUGCGUUGAAUACAGGGAGUGCCUGUUACAACAGGAGAGGCCAUUUAGGCCCUGACUGGGUGGCUUCAGUGUGUGUACAUCAACCCACACAACUGUACCAUUCUCAAACACUACCAGUUCAAGUGUCACACUAGUGUUCUUAUAGCACUUCUGUGUCCUGGGACCCGACACAAAGCAAGUUAAAGGAGUGGCUGAAACCCGUGAUUCAUCUCUAAUUACAUAUCCUAUGCAGUGUUCUUGUGAGGGAAAACAUCCAUCAGCCUCCAGAACUGAGAUCCCUUUUCUUUUGGGGGCCUAGGACUGACACCCCCCACACACACCCGUCCUGUCCCAUGCUUGUG
rnacentral:lncRNA from 1 species